GUAUAACCUUUAGGUCUAGUAGCACAUUGAUUUCGGAGUACUGGCUACCUCUCUUGGAAAAAGCCAGUUCUUUUAUGCUCACAUUUAGAAGCAAUAAAAACAGCUGGCCUUCAGAGUUCUGUGUUAGGAGACAGAAACGUAUGAAGAAGUCAGCACUGCCCGUGCAGGCUAUCCAUGAUGGUGCUUCUGCUGCAAAGUGUAACAUUCCUUCACUCAGUAUGAUGGGAUGCGAAGGGAAGGAAAUGAAAAUGCUGAUUGUCCUCUUCAGAGAUGGAGCUUCAAAGCAAUUAUCAGGAGUUUUCCAAGUCCUCGUUAAUGGGAAGUGCAGUCUCCACAUCAGCUGUUUCCAACAGAAGGACUUUCACAAGCCUUAAAUGGAGUUACCUCCCCUGCAUCAAUGGAAGUGAAAGGAGAAUUUUGUUCCCUGAUCUGUUAUGAACAUAUAAUCAAACAAAGAAUUUGGCUGCGGGCCUUUUUGACGGCAUUUUAUAUUAUACUUUAUUAGAAGGAGUCACGAGUUGAAGUGAAUAAUUCUGCCUGAGGGAGGAAAUUGGGUACAUACAGUGUGCAGAUACAAGCCUAGUUCUGAAAAUUCACAAACCCAUCAGAACCGAUGGCACCAUCUUAUUUCUUAAAUCCAAAGAAGAACACCACUCCGUACUCCUGUUGUACUGAAUCCAUCCGGAGUUCUCUACCGCUUGGUAUGUAAAGCUGUGCUUUGAGGAGGGAAGGCAGAGCAAACCACAGAGCUUCAGAGAAACCAGAUGCACACAUAAAGCAAGAAGUGGAGGUCAUGAAAAAAUGCCAGAAUUUUGUGAAGGAAGAAGGCGGCACACUGUGCCAACCACAGCCAACCACAGGAAAAAAAAAAAUGGAAGGCAGAAAAAAGUAAUGGGAAUAGAUACAAACCCUUGCUAAGCCUACUGGAAUAUGGACUUCAAUAACAAGAGUUUCAUUUAGAACAGAGAUGGGUUGUAAAACAACAGCAUCUAGUGAGUAAUCUGCUGGUCUGUGAAGCCAUCCCUCUCCAUUAGGCACUCCUAAAAGCAAGCUGUCAUCUAACAUCAAAAGCCUUGCCCUGACUUUGCACCUUUUAAGCCCUCAAAUGAGCACUGAAGCCCACAGAAGUUUUAUGCAGGCUUUCUGCAGCCUGGUGCUGGUCAGCCCGGACCACAGGGCCAACAUUUUUCUCAGCAAUACUGGUUCUCCAUAGCAGGAUCGUUCAGGCUGGAUGAGAGCAUGAGUCACCUGGAGUUGGGAUCAUCAUGUUCUUUCAAAGAAAAAGAGGGUUUGUUCUCUAUGUGAAAACAUCCAGUGGCUGGAUAUAGCCUCUCUGCACAGGGACACAGUCCAGCUAGAUACUCUGUGUUGUCACGUGCCCUUUAGAGAAUAGAGAAGAUGAUGGUUAAGGUUGUAGAAAUGCUAGCACAUGGAAUCACUUUUCAUAACCUGAAUAAAUAAUUUUCAGAGCAAGCAUUGUUCUUUCUCUUUUGUACACUUUGGCUGGCAGUGGAGAGGAGUUUUAAAUAGAAAAGAAAGUACAGUGAACAGUAUGACUUUAUGAGUUUCCUCAGUCUCAGGAAGGAAGCAGAAGGUGCCGAAUUAAACAAACAUCUGCCCUGGCAAAUAGCAAACAAUGUGUUUGUCUAGCAAACUGAACAAACAGGACUUGGAAGUCUGAGAGAGGGGAGGAUGAGACAGAGGAAGCCAAGAUGGCCAUUUUGCCAAAUGACAUUUUUUCACGCGCCAGCAGUCAGUGUUGUAAUUAUGAGAAACUCUGGGGAACUGAGGAGUCUGAAUCCUCAUUGCUUUAGAGCAUUGCCAAUAAGAUAUAAAAAUUGCUAACAUAGUGAAAGCAUUCAUCUGCAGUGGGGUUUGGUAUGCCUUUAACCAGCAAAACGUCUAUUAUGCAAAAGAAAAUUCAUUAUAGAGUCUUUCAUCACACCAAUUUCAUGCUCAUCAAAAGGGCCAGAUUAACAAUGGCAGGAAUUGACGUCUGGUGUUUAUGUACAGAUGAGGCAGAGGCAUUCAUAGAGCAUGCUUUUUUGCUAACACGUCUCAACCUGCCAUGAAAAGGCAGCCCUGAGGGUCAGGUUAGUCACUGUUCAUGGGCUCGCAGAAGUUUGCAGCCAAGGUGACAGUAAGUGCAAGAGUAAAUUAGGCAUGAGGCUGUGAGGAGCACUGAGAAAG
rnacentral:lncRNA from 1 species